UCAGAUUGAACGCUGGCGGCGUGCUUAACACAUGCAAGUCGAACGCGAAAGGGACUUCGGUCCUGAGUAAAGUGGCGGCACGGGUGAGUAACGCGUGGAUAAUCUGCCCUAUGAUCGGGAUAACAGUUGGAAACGGCUGCUAAUACCGGAUACGCUCAAAAUGAACUUUUUUGAGGAAAGAUGGCCUCUGGCUUGCAUGCUAUCACGUAAGGAUGAGUCCGCGUCCCAUUAGCUUGUUGGCGGGGGUAACGGCCCACCGAAGGCAACGAUGGGUAGCCGAUUUGAGAGGAUGAUCGGCCACACUGGAACUGAAACACGGUCCAGACUCCUACGGGAGGCAGCAGUGGGGAAUAUUGCGCAAUGGGCGAAAGCCUGACGCAGCGACGCCGCGUGAGGGGAAUGAAGGUUUUCGGAUCGUAAACCUCUGUCAGAAGGGAAGAAACUACGUUGUGCUAAUCAGCAGCGUACUGACGGUACCUUCAAAGGAAGCACCGGCUAACUCCGUGCCAGCCGCCGC
rnacentral:rRNA from 1 species